CUUUUACACAGCCACAGGAACCAAAAGCAUUUUGAAAGAGGGCAUGCAGGGAGCAGAGAAAGCCCUGGGUGAGUGAAGGCCUGAGUGGAUGUGUCACGUCAGGGACCCUAAUGCCUCGGGUCCAUGGAGCCUUCCCCAGGCCCCAGCUGUUCGGAAUGCGCUCAGAACAUGAUACCCCAAGACACGGUACGGAGCCCUUGGCACUGAAGAGGGUGGUGUGCAGAGGCCCUGGGCAGCAAAACCUCUCUCAGCCUCGUCAGCCCUCCUGGCUCUGCUCCUCUUUCCCACAGAAACCCGGAAACACCACACGAGCGCCCCACCUCGCAAAGUCCUCUGGCUGCAGAGUGCAGAGAUCAAGCUAACAAAACCAGCCGGCCUCCCAGCGGGCAGCACUAAGCAUGGGAGGGAGCAGGAAGUG